ACUGCAGGCUGCAACUCGCCUGCACGAAGUCGGAAUCGCUAGUAAUCGCGGAUCAGCACGCCGCGGUGAAUACGUUCCCGGGCCUUGUACACACCGCCCGUCACACCACGGAAGUUGGGAGUACCCAAAGUAGGUUGCCUAACCGCAAGGAGGGCGCUUCCUAAGGUAAGACCGAUGACUGGGGUGAAGUCGUAACAAGGUACC
rnacentral:rRNA from 1 species